AGAGUUUGAUCAUGGCUCAGAGUGAACGCUAGCGGCGUGGAUUAGGCAUGCAAGUCGAGCGCGUAAGCAUGGACAUCAAUUCCUUCGGGAUGCGAAGUCCCGCGAGUAGAGCGGCGCAAGGGUGAGUAAUACAUGGCUGACGUACCCUAGGCAUCGGAACAACCACGGGAAACUGUGGCUAAUACCGAAUGGCCUCCUUGGACUUCAUGGUCCUUGGGGUAAAGGUCGGGACCCCUUCGGGGGCCGUCCGGCCUGGGAGCGGGUCAUGCACUAUCAGCUUGUUGGUGAGGUAACGGCUCACCAAGGCUACGACGGUUAGGCGGUCUGAGAGGAUGGCCGCCCACAUCGGGACUGAGACACUGCCCGGACUCCUACGGGAGGCUGCAGUCGAGAAUCAUCCGCAAUGGGCGAAAGCCUGACGGUGCGACGCCGCGUGAGGGACGAAGGCCUUAGGGUCGUAAACCUCUUUCGCCUGUUAUGAACAUUUGGCAAUGAAUAAGUGUCGAACUGACAAAGGCAGGUAAAGAAGCACCGGCUAACUCCGUGCCAGCAGCCGCGGUAAGACGGAGGGUGCAAGCGUUACUCGGAAUUACUGGGCGUAAAGGGUCCGUAGGCGGCGCGACAAGUUGGAUGUGAAAUCCCUCGGCUCAACCGAGGAACUGCGUCC
rnacentral:rRNA from 1 species